GCCAGGUGCUGUGGUGCACACCUGUAAUCCUUGCAACUUGGAAGGCUGAGACAGGAGAUUCACAAGUUCAAGGCCAGCCUCAGCAACUUAGCCAGACCCUGUCUCAA
rnacentral:sRNA from 1 species